GUCAAUUGCAUUAAGAAAUAGAGAGAUCCAAUCCUAGCUACCCAAACGUAUGGAGAUAACGCUAGAUCAAACAAUUUCCUUGGGUUUUAUCCCAAGUGUUCUCAUGUAAGAAUAACCCAAGCAAUUACGGACUUAAAUUAUGCAAACUAACAAAUAAUUAUUUUGCAAUAAAAAAUCAACGUAGAUUUCAAUAACAAAAUAAUAUGAGAAUUAAAUAUGAAAUUGCAUGAAUAUUGAAUUCCCAAAAUUAAACAAUAUUUGAUCAAGUCUCACAACCCAUUAAAUAACUAAAGCUUCAACCAAUAUUCA
rnacentral:lncRNA from 1 species